UUAGUUGGUGGAGUGAUUUGUCUGGUUGAUUCCGUUAACGAACGAGACCCCCGCCUGCUAAAUAGUGAGGUUAAUGAUUUUCAUUGACUAUCUCUUCUUAGAGGGACUUUUGGUGACUAACUAAAGGAAGUUGGGGGCAAUAACAGG
rnacentral:rRNA from 1 species